AAUAGGGUGCCCGAUUAUAAGGGUUAUUUUGAUAGGAUAAUUAUGGUCUUAAAGGCCCUCUAUUU
rnacentral:tRNA from 1 species